ACAUGAUGUCUUCAUGAAAUGGUUUAAGUUAAAUAUGAUAAAUACCAAAAUAUUAGCUUAAUUCACAAGAUCAGUAGACUCAUCAAUUUGCAGCAAAUAAUAUCAACCUCCUCAGAAGUUGGAUAUUUGCUAUUCUAAGUUCCCAGCCACAUCUGUAAUUUUAAAAAGAACUGUGAUAUUUGACAAAGACACUUGCUUUGUUCCCAGUCAUCAUUUUCACUCUGUCUUUGGCAGCAGUUUUGGUAAGUGUGUGAACAAUGAAUUCAGCAGAUCUAACCUUUGCAAUUCAGUACAACCUUAUAAAAUGUGGUUUCCACAGCUUUUGUCUUUGGCCUGUUGUGUUUAGCUUUAGGUGAUGAUGAAAUGUCCUUCUAUUCUGCUUCAAAAUUUUUGAUGAUAUUUGAAGCAGGAAGAUUUUGUAUCAAAAUAUAUGAGCCUUUUCAUUUAUUCACUCACUCAUUCACUCAUUUAUUCAUUUACUCAUUCUGCAAAUGUUUAUUGAAUACUUACUCUGUAUCAGGAACUGUGCAAGUGAUACAUAUGUCACAUAAUGGAGUUUAAUUUUCUCUCAUUACCAGGUGAUAUGGUUUGGCUGUGUUCCCACCCAAAUCUCAUCUUGAAUUGUAACUCCAACAAUUCCCUCAUGUUGUGGGAGGAACCCACUAGAAGCAGGAAGCAAAGGACUCUGAAAUGGUGGAACACGAUGCAAGGAACCUGUAUCCUUGGGUUUCCCCUCAGAGGAAAACCACCCUGGACAGUUGCUCAUACAGGAACCAUCUCAUGGGACUUUGUGUGAGUGAAAAGUCAACCUUUGGUUGUGAAUUAAACUGAAGAACUUGCUGAAAACAUUUUGAUCAUAAUGAAGAGACUCUUGAAAUGCUUGAUUAAGUGCAUUCUAAAGAAUUUCCCCAACGUGGAUGGCAGUGGUGAGUGACUAAUUGUGUCUAUUUGGGUCUUCUAGGAAGCAGAUGCUAAUAAGGAGUUAGGAAUGCAGGAUGUUGAUUGUGGCUAAUACCGGUGAAAGAUAAAAGGGCAGAGAGCAAGACUGGGUAGGAAAGGCAUUCAAACUACGAUGCAUUAUCUGACACAUGUGAAAGGAUAAGGGGUGGAAACAGAAUUGGGCAGAGUUGCCUUAGAUUUUAAGGCUAAUAUGAGAAAGUCUUGGUCUCAACCCAGUGGGGAGUUCUGGAGGAAAGACUGCCUCUUUAAAGAGUCUCACAUUGGGCAGAAGUGGCUAGGCCCUAGAAGUGCCACCUUUCUUAGUUAUUGACUGGAGGCUGCCCAGGGAAAGCAUGGUUUUGUCAAGAAUACUGCAGCCAGUCUUGGAAGGUCCUGCAACCUGAGGCUGUAAGCUAACUUCACUGCUCAUAGUUCCAUGGCGAAGUCUUUCUUGAUAGGAACUCUGAGCUAUGCAGCUCCAUGCUUGCCACAGUCCAUCCUUGGUGUUGCCUGGAUUAACUUCAGAGUUCCUGUUCAGAAUUCCUGUGAACCUCAGAAGGUCUUCCUGAGGGAAGACUUAGAAGAGGAGGUUAGUGAGAAGAACUACAGCUCAUCUUGCUGCAGUUGGUCUCAGGGCUGCUACUAGGUUUCAUUUUCUUCCUUCUCUAUAACCCAUUCUAUAUUUGUACUGAUUUUCUGCCUGCUUAAUCUAUCCAUUGUUGACAGAGGGGUGUUGAAAUCUCCAAUGAUAAUAGUAGAUGUAUCUAGUUCUUCUUGCAGUUCUAUAAGUUUUUGUCUCAUUUAUUUUGAUGCUUUGUUGUUAGGUGCAUACACGUUUUAAGAUUGUAGUUUUCUUGAGACUUGACCCCCAUAAUGCCCCAUUUUAUUUUAUUUUUUUUUCAGAAUUGUAAAAUUUUAUUUUCCACACGUCCACAUUCUUAUUAAUACAGCUUGAUCGAAAAAAACUCUGACCAUAAGCAUGUUGAUUAUUUCCCUUUGGAACUGGUGAAGUCAGAAAAAUAAAAUAUUUAUUUUGAAUAUAUAGCAUCCAAAAUAUUCACUUAAUGUGGCCUUAUCUGUUUAUAUUCAAAGGCUUUCUUCCCUCAAAAUAAAGGUUCUAAGAUAAAUUCAAGAUUCCUUUGAAUGAAGAAAAGAAAACCGGCUGGGCACAGUGGCUGAGGCCUGUAAUCCCAGCACUUUGGGAGGCCAG